rnacentral:tRNA from 1 species
GGUACCAUGGCGGAGUGGUUACGCAGCGGAUUGCAAAUCCGUCCACCCCGGUUCGAUUCCGGGUGGUACCUCCA